CUCACCAGAUCCUGUACAAUCACUGAAAUUAAGCAAUGUCGAGUCUGGACAUUACUUAGAUGGAUGACCACUUGGGAAUACCAGGUGCUGUAAG